rnacentral:rRNA from 1 species
GUGAGUAACACGUGGAUAACCUACCUAUAAGACUGGGAUAACUUCGGGAAACCGGAGCUAAUACCGGAUAAUAUUUUGAACCGCAUGGUUCAAAAGUGAAAGACGGUCUUGCUGUCACUUAUAGAUGGAUCCGCGCUGCAUUAGCUAGUUGGUAAGGUAACGGCUUACCAAGGCAACGAUGCAUAGCCGACCUGAGAGGGUGAUCGGCCACACUGGAACUGAGACACGGUCCAGACUCCUACGGGAGGCAGCAGUAGGGAAUCUUCCGCAAUGGGCGAAAGCCUGACGGAGCAACGCCGCGUGAGUGAUGAAGGUCUUCGGAUCGUAAAACUCUGUUAUUAGGGAAGAACAUAUGUGUAAGUAACUGUGCACAUCUUGACGGUACCUAAUCAGAAAGCCACGGCUAACUACGUGCCAGCAGCCGCGGUAAUACGUAGGUGGCAAGCGUUAUCCGGA